GUAGGUGGCAAGCGUUGUCCGGAAUUAUUGGGCGUAAAGCGCGCGCAGGCGGUUCUUUAAGUCUGAUGUGAAAGCCCACGGCUCAACCGUGGAGGGUCAUUGGAAACUGGAGAACUUGAGUACAGAGGAGGAAAGCGGAAUUCCACGUGUAGCGGUGAAAUGCGUAGAGAUGUGGAGGAACACCAGUGGCGAAGGCGGCUUUCUGGUCUGUAACUGACGCUGAGGCGCGAAAGCGUGGGGAGCAAACAGGGAUUAGAUACCCUGGUAGUCCACGCCGUAAACGAUGAGUGCUAAGUGUUAGGGGGUUUCCGCCCCCUUAGUGCUGCAGCUAACGCAUUAAGCACUCCGCCUGGGGAUACGGCCGCAAGGCUG
rnacentral:rRNA from 1 species